rnacentral:rRNA from 1 species
CAUGCAUGUCUCAGUACAAGCCAAAUUAAGGUGAAACCGCGAAAGGCUCAUUAAAUCAGUUAUGGUUCCUUAGAUCGUACCACAUUUACUUGGAUAACUGUGGUAAUUCUAGAGCUAAUACAUGCAAACAGAGCUCCGACCGGAGACGGAAGGAGCGCUUUUAUUAGAUCAAAACCAAUCGGUGGCGGGCUCGCCCGUCAUCGUACAUUUUGGUGACUCUGAAUAACUUUUUGCUGAUCGCACGGUCACGCACCGGCGACGCAUCUUUCAAAUGUCUGCCUUAUCAACUGUCGAUGGUAGGUUCUGCGCCUACCAUGGUUGUAACGGGUAACGGGGAAUCAGGGUUCGAUUCCGGAGAGGGAGCCUGAGAAACGGCUACCACAUCCAAGGAAGGCAGCAGGCGCGCAAAUUACCCACUCCCGGCACGGGGAGGUAGUGACGAAAAAUAACGAUACGGGACUCAUCCGAGGCCCCGUAAUCGGAAUGAGUACACUCUAAACUCUUUAACGAGAACCCAUUGGAGGGCAAGUCUGGUGCCAGCAGCCGCGGUAAUUCCAGCUCCAAUAGCGUAU